rnacentral:rRNA from 1 species
AUUGACCUCGGAUCAGGCAGGGAUACCCGCUGAACUUAAGCAUAUCAAUAAGCGGAGGAAAAGAAACCAACAGGGAUUGCCCUAGUAACGGCGAGUGAAGCGGCAACAGCUCAAAUUUGAAAUCUGGCUCCUUUGGGGUCCGAGUUGUAAUUUGCAGAGGGUGCUUUGGCGUUGGCUGUGGUCUAAGUUCCUUGGAACAGGACGUCACAGAGGGUGAGAAUCCCGUACGUGGCCGCCAGCCUCCGCCGUGUAAAGCCCCUUCGACGAGUCGAGUUGUUUGGGAAUGCAGCUCUAAAUGGGAGGUAAAUUUCUUCUAAAGCUAAAUAUCUGCCAGAGACCGAUAGCGCACAAGUAGAGUGAUCGAAAGAUGAAAAGCACUUUGGAAAGAGAGUCAAAAAGCACGUGAAAUUGUUGAAAGGGAAGCGCUUGCAGCUAGACGUGCCUCUGGAUGAUCAGCCGGGCUUCUGCCUGGUGCACUCUUCCUCUGGCAGGCCAGCAUCAGUUUGGGCGGCUGGAUAAAGGUCUGUUAAACGUGACUCCCUUUGGGGAGAGCUUAUAGGGCAGACGACAUGCAGCCAGCCCGGACUGAGGUCCGCGCAUCUGCUAGGAUGCUGGCAUAAUAGCUGUAAGCGGCCCGUCUUGAAACACGGACCAAGGAGUCUAACAUCUAUGCGAGUGUUUGGGUGUCAAGCCCGAGCGCGUAAUGAAAGUGAACGGAGGUGGGAACCCUUUGGGUGCACCAUCGACCGAUCCCGACGUCUUCUGAUGGAUUUGAGUAAGAGCAUAGCUGUUGGGACCCGAAAGAUGGUGAACUAUGCCUGAAUAGGGUGAAGCCAGAGGAAACUCUGGUGGAGGCUCGCAGCGGUUCUGACGUGCAAAUCGAUCGUCAAAUUUGGGCAUAGGGGCGAAAGACUAAUCGAACUAUCUAGUAGCUGGUUCCUGCCGAAGUUUCCCUCAGG